AACGAACGCUGGCGGCGUGGAUAAGACAUGCAAGUCGAACGAAAUAAACUUUGUAGCAAUACAGAAUUUGUUUAGUGGCAAACGAGAGAGUAACACGUGAGAAUCAUCCCCAAAGAUAGGAAUAGCCCACCGAAAGGUGGAUUAAUACCUAAUGUGGAGGUAACUCUAAAGCAGGGGCUCGUAAGACCUUGUGCUUUGGGACGAGCUCGCGUCCUAUCAGCUAGUUGGUGAGGUAAAAGCUCACCAAGGCUAAGACGGGUAGCUGGUUUGAGAGAACGACCAGCCUCGCUGGAACUGAGACACGGUCCAGACACCUACGGGUGGCAGCAGUCGAGAAUUAUUCGCAAUGGGGGAAACCCUGACGGUGCGACGCCGCGUGGGGGAUGAAGGUCUUCGGAUUGUAAACUCCUGUCACCACAGAAAAAUAUUUAUAAUCUAAUAAAUUGUAAAUUUGAUGGUAUGUGGAGAGGAAGGGACAGCUAA
rnacentral:rRNA from 1 species